UUGCUUCAAAACUAUAGGGCAUGUGCUGCGGCUUUGACCUAACGGCCUCCGUUUGCUGGAAUUAAUCGGAAUAGGUGAGAACAAAGUGACGAACGGAUGCGUAAUGCGUGGGAACCUGUUGAAUAGUUUGGGCCGAAUCCUGAAGAAAGUUCAAAGCGUUGUUUGAUGAGCCUGCGUAGUAUUAGUUAGUUGGUCAGGUAAAGGCUGGCCAAGCCAAUGAUGCUUAGCUGGUCUUUUUGAACGAUUAGCCACACUGGGACUGAGACACGACCCAGACUCCCAUGGGGGGCAGCAGAGGGGAAUCUUGGACAAUGGGCGAAAGCCCAAUCCAGCAAUCUCGCGUGAGUGAAGAAGGUCAAUGCUCCUUGUAAAGCUCUUACGUCGAGUGCACGAUCACGAUAGAAUAGAGGAAGAAGCCCCGGCUAACUGUGUGCCAGCAGCCGCGCUAAGACAAGGGGUGGGGGGCAAGUACUCUUUGGAAUGACUGGGCGUAAAGGGCAUGUAGGCGGUGAAUCGGGUUGAAAGUGAAACUGUGAAAGUCAUAAAAAGUGGUGGAAUGCUCUCGAAACCAAUUCACUUAAGUGAGACAAAGGAGAAAGUGGUGGAAUGCUCUCGAAACCAAUUCAUUUAAGUGAGACAAAGGAGAGUGGAUGGUCUUCUAUUCGUCCCUAUAUACAUUGUGAGGGACUAAAGUUUUUUCUGAAAGGAAAAGAGAUUAAAGUUGAAACAGACGCUCACUUCUAUGAACACGUGGACA
rnacentral:ncRNA from 1 species